GAUGAACGCUGGCGGCGUGCCUAAUACAUGCAAGUCGAGCGAACGGACGAGAAGCUUGCUUCUCUGAUGUUAGCGGCGGACGGGUGAGUAACACGUGGAUAACCUACCUAUAAGACUGGGAUAACUUCGGGAAACCGUAGCUAAUACCGGAUAAUAUUUUGAACCGCAUGGUUCAAAAGUGAAAGACGGUCUUGCUGUCACUUAUAGAUGGAUCCGCGUUGCAUUAGCUAGUUGGUAAGGUAACGGCUUACCAAGGCAACGAUGCAUAGCCGACCUGAGAGGGUGAUCAGCCACACUGGAACUGAGACACGGUCCAGACUCCUACGGGAGGCAGCAGUAGGGAAUCUUCCGCAAUGGGCGAAAGCCUGACGGAGCAACGCCGCGUGAGUGAUGAAGGUCUUCGGAUCGUAAAACUCUGUUAUUAGGGAAGAACAUAUGUGUAAGUAACUGUGCACAUCUUGACGGUACCUAAACAGAAAGCCACGGCUAACUACGUG
rnacentral:rRNA from 1 species